rnacentral:rRNA from 1 species
CAUCUUUAUAAAUAGUAUGGAUGUUUUGACGUUAUCUCCAGAGGAAGCUCCGGCUAACUCCGUGCCAGCAGCCGCGGUAAUACGGGGGGGAGCAAGCGUUGUCCGGAAUCAUUGGGCGUAAAGGGCGUGUAGGUGGUUUCGUAAGUCGAAUGUGAAAUCUCACGGCUCAACCGUGAAAUUGCGUUCGAAACUACGAGACUUGAGUUAGGGAGAGGUGUACGGAAUUCCUGGUGUAGCGGUGGAAUGCGUAGAUAUCAGGAAGAACACCAAUGGCGAAGGCAGUACACUGGCCUGUAACUGACACUGAGGCGCGAAAGCGUGGGGAGCAAACAGGAUUAGAUACCCUGGUAGUCCACGCUGUAAACGAUGGGUACUAGGUUUUGGGGGUCUCAACCCCUUCAGAGCCGUAGCUAACGCGUUAAGUACCCGCCUGGGGAGUACGAUCGGCAAGGUUGAAACUCAAAGGAAUUGACGGGUUCCCGCACAAGCGGUGGAGCAUGUGCUUUAAUUCGAGGCAACGCGAAGAACCUUACCUGGGCUUGACAUGGGAGCUUUCUCUUCGGAGGAGGUUAGCUAUGUGAAAGCAUGGUUAGUCCACACAGGUGUUGCAUGGCUGUCGUCAGCUCGUGUCGUGAGAUGUUCGGUUAAGUCCGGCAACGAGCGCAACCCUCGCUGUCAGUUACCAACGGGUAAUGCCGGGGACUCUGACAGGACUGCCGGUGAUAAACCGGAGGAAGGCGGGGGAUGACGUCAAGUCAUUAUGACCCUUACGCCCAGGGCUAGACACGUGCUACAAUGGUCGGUACAAUGAGCAGCGAGACCGCGAGGUGGAGCAAAUCUCAAAAAGCCGGCCCUAGUACGGAUUGCAGUCUGCAACUCGACUGCAUGAAGCUGGAAUCGCUAGUAAUCGCGUAUCAGCAUGACGCGGUGAAUACGUUCCCGGGAAUUGUACACACCGCCCGUCAAACCAUGGGAAUCGGUAGCACUCGAAGUCGCUGGCCCAACUUUAUUGAGGGAAGCGCCUAAAGUGAGAUCGGUGACUGGGGUUAAGUCGUAACAAGGUAGCCGUACCGGAAGGUGUGGCUG